AUGCGCCUCAGAUAUCUCGUCCUCGCUGCCUUCCUGAGGCAACCACUGGGCACCAUGGGACAGACCACUGUCACCCAGCAAGAAGGAGAAGUUACAGUGACUUCCAAAUAACCUGCACAUACCAGAGCUCCUACUUUCAGGGCUUGCUCUGGUACCAGCAGAGGAAAGGCCAAGCUCCCCAGUUGGUCUCCUAUCAGGCAAGAGCUGGCCGCAAGUGCAGUGGCCGUUUCACCACUGAGCUGAAAACCACGGGGAAAUACAGCCUCCUGCAGCUGGAGGAAGUCGAGGUCUCUGACAGUGCCUUGUACCUCUGUGCUGGCUAUCCAGAGCACCAGGAAUUCCCUUCCACACAGGCUUCUGAGCUGCUGACCCCUCAGAACACCCAGCAGCACCGGGCUCCUCUCUAA